AGGCAGCAGUUAGGAAUCUUCCGCAAUGGACGGAAGUCUGACGGAGCGACGCCGCUUGGAGGAGGAAGCCCUUCGGGGUGUAAACUCCUGAACUGGGGACGAAAGCCCUGUGUAGGGGGAUGACGGUACCCAGGUAAUAGCGCCGGCCAACUCCGUGCCAGCAGCCGCGGUAAUACGGAGGGCGCGAGCGUUACCCGGAUUUACUGGGCGUAAAGGGCGUGUAGGCGGCCUGGGGCGUCCCAUGUGAAAGGCCACGGCUCAACCGUGGAGGAGCGUGGGAUACGCUCAGGCUAGAGGAUGGGAGGGGGUGGUGGAAUUCCCGGAGUAGCGGUGAAAUGCGCAGAUAUCGGGAGGAACGCCGAUGGCGAAGGCAGCCACCUGGUCCACUUCUGACGCUGAGGCGCGAAAGCGUGGGGAGCAAACCGGAUUAGAUACCCCAGUAGUCC
rnacentral:rRNA from 1 species